CCUACUUUCUCUUAUGAUUUUAAAGAAAACUAAAGAAGAACAGAUCCUGAGAGAGGGGGAGAAGAUUGAGGAAAGGUCAGUUCGGCAUGACAGUGCCGCUUUAAGGCACAAUAUGCACCAUAUGAGAUACCCUGUAGUGUCUACUUUUAGAAAUGGUAGGCCUUUGUGGCGUUUUUUUAACAGUCAAACUGCUAUAAUACUCCAUACGGAAGCAUUGGCCCAUUAAAUCCGUCUCUCAAAAGUCUACUGUAAAUACUGAAAAGGACAGGUCUCCCAUAUGGCACAUCAGCUUUACGAAAUAGUGCCAAAGACAUACAAUGGGAGUAUCGUUGUACUCAGCAGAUGUAGCUGAACACAAAAUAGUUGUGUAAAGGAAUAGCACACACCAACUUUACAAAAUACACACAAGAAGUUCUUUGUUAUAAGUU